AACGAACGCUGGCGGCGCGCCUAAUACAUGCAAGUCGAGCGAGAAGACGUAGCAAUACGUUUGUAAAGCGGCGAACGGGUGAGGAAUACAUGGGUAACCUACCCUCGAGUGGGGAAUAACUAGCCGAAGGUUAGCUAAUACCGCGUACGCUCCUUGGACUUCGGUUCAGGGAGGAAGCGAUACCAUGGGUAUCGCGCUCUUGGGUGGGCUCAUGUCCUAUCAGCUUGUGGUGAGGAACGGCUCACCAAGGCUUCGACGGGUAGCUGGUCUGAGAGGACGAUCAGCCACACUGGCACUGCGACACGGGCCAGACUCCUACGGGAGGCAGCAGUAAGGAUAUUGCGCAAUGGGCGAAAGCCUGACGCAGCGA
rnacentral:rRNA from 1 species